CAUGCCGGCUGAUACACACGCCCGGAGGAGGUGCGGCCGGCGGGGGACAGGGAAAGAGAUCACAGCGAAGACCCAGAAGAAACAAAAGGCAAGCGAAUGUAAGAGCUUCACCACCUUCCCACUCCAGGACGGUGGACAACAAGAGGUUUGAAAGCUGUGAUGUCCUCACUGUCUUCCGUCCCUCUCACGGAAUGAAAAGUCGUUUUUGCCAGAAUAUUAUACCUGCAAGAUCUCACGGGGAGGAGACUGCAGCCCAC
rnacentral:lncRNA from 1 species